CCCUAUGGGGUGCGCAUCAUCUAGCCUGCGGCUCAACCGGCGCGCGAAGGAUGCCUUUGCGCACGUAGAUCGGCCGCAGGAAAGGCCGUAGCGCCGGCAGGCUGAGGGCGAACAGGAUCGCCGCGAGCACGCAGCCGGCCCCGCCGAGCAUCAAGGCGCGCGGCGCCCCGAUCGACUGCGCCAAGCUGCCGGCGAGCAGGCUGCCAAAGGGCGUCAUGCCCAGGAAGGCCAUCGAGUACAGGCUCAUCACGCGACCGCGUUUGUCGUCGUCGACCACGGUUUGCAGGACGGUGUUGCUGGAAGCGAUUUGCGACAUCAUGCCCAGCCCCACGACGAGCAUCAGCGGCAGGGGAGC
rnacentral:rRNA from 1 species